rnacentral:rRNA from 1 species
UACAGAGGCCUCGAGCGUUAGGCGGAAUCACUGGGCUUAAAGCGUGCGCAGGCGGUGAUGUAAGACAGGUGUGAAAUCCCCGGGCUUAACCUGGGAACUGCAUUUGUGACUGCAUCGCUGGAGUGCGGCAGAGGGGGAUGGAAUUCCGCGUGUAGCAGUGAAAUGCGUAGAUAUGCGGAGGAACACCGAUGGCGAAGGCAAUCCCCUGGGCCUGCACUGACGCUCAUGCACGAAAGCGUGGGGAGCAAACAGG